rnacentral:antisense_RNA from 1 species
CUUGAUGGAACCCAGCCAGAGGGGCAGGUCCUCCGGGCGGUUCUGGCCGUACGUGGCCAGCAGGGCCUGGGCCUC